rnacentral:misc_RNA from 1 species
UUUCUCUUUCCUUCUUAGCAUUCCUUUCCUUUCAAACUACACCUCACUCUCUAUCACUUCCACCGGACCUCCGAAUUCGACCCGGAUAUUCAUCCUACGAUGCAUACAUCAAUCGUCAGCUCAACAAAACGCUAAACCCGAAACUCCGAAAAAUCUGGACGACCCGAGAUUGGGACCGAAAGGUUCGGGUUUUCUCCGGAUUCUUCGACG